GGGGGCGACAUGGCUUCGACGUGGAUAGCAAAACCUUGAGUGCAUGCCGAGGACAGUACACCUCGUAAAAUCUACUGAACUUAAAGU
rnacentral:tmRNA from 1 species